rnacentral:rRNA from 1 species
UACAGAGGUCUCAAGCGUUGUUCGGAUUCAUUGGGCGUAAAGGGUGUGUAGGUGGCGCCGUAAGUCAGGUGUGAAAUCUCGGGGCUUAACUCCGAAACUGCAUUUGAUACUGCGGUGCUUGAGGACUGGAGAGGAGACUGGAAUUUAUGGUGUAGCAGUGAAAUGCGUAGAUAUCAUAAGGAAGACCAGUGGCGAAGGCGAGUCUCUGGACAGUUCCUGACACUGAGACACGAAAGCGUGGGGAUCAGACAGG